GUCCACGCGCCUGGGAGGCCGGGGUCUGUGCUGCCCCCACGCCCUCGGCACCCCCGGCCUCCGCCGCUGAGGUCUGUGUCCCGUACUCUUCAUCACCGCCAGAAAACUGCUCACACGUCACAGAGUAGCGAGGAACGCGGCAGUAGCGGCCCUUUGGCCGAUCGGGUCAAGGCUCCGUGAUGGGGUGACAGGACCCCGCGCCCAGAGCCUGUGGGCAUCUAACUCCCUGCCCGGCCCACAGGGCUUGGGGCUCUCGGUGACUUCCACGGGCUGGCUGGGCCUCCUGUCCCUGACACGCCUCUAGCCCCAGCCUCUAGCUGUUUAUCCUCAACCGCGUGAAGAAGGCAUAAACCGUGCAGCUUGCCCAGGUAUUUAUUUUAGUUAGUGAAAAUGCCUUGGACUUUGCCAAGAGCCAUUUGACUUUAAUUGGAAACUUUUGAGGCAUUAAGACUGCGCCGAGCCUUAAGGCGUGUCCGAGGCUCUGAAACCAUCCAUCACGUGAGGCCUGCUUAGGACCAGGUGGAAUGAAGACAACCUUUUAGCAAAUCCACCUCCCUUAAUGGACUCAUUUAUAACUCUCUGCACCGCUGGGCAGUCUCUCCACAGAACCCCGGGAGCGCCAGCCAGCGCGUCUGAAAGCAGCCAACAUCUGGUGGCUGUAAACGAGGAACCCAGAAAAAACAAAACACAACAUAAACAAGAGGCGGCUCGGGGAGGGCCACCCGGACGCCCCCAUCCUGCUCCCCGGGCAGACGCUUCCCCGCCACGUGUGGGAAGCCAGGGGAGAGGCACCGUCCCAGCUUCCUCUGAGAAACGUCACCCCAACAGCUCUGUUUAUGGAGGGUUUCUGGGGGCUGGGCUGGCGGGGAAGGCACACCAGCUGCUCCAGCCUCAUCCCAUAUGACGCGUUGCCAAGGGCGUCCCAGACCUGGCCCCGUCACAAGGCCUUUGCUCAGACUCUUCCCUGUGCCCGGAGCACCCUUCCCUCCCCUCAUGUGUGCUAGCUAGCUGUGGCUGUGAAACGAAUCACCCCAAACUUAGCAGCUGAGAACAACAAAAGCUUGCAAUGUCAAGAAGGAAAGAACAACAUUGAAAUGGCUAAAAAUAGAAGCAAAUGUAAUAAACUACCUUCUCAUUCGUUUUUAA